CUCUUCGUUAAGUCGUCCUUCCCAACAUGGCGCAGUCUAUUAACAUCACGGAGCUGAAUCUGCCGCAGCUAGAAAUGCUCAAGAACCAGCUGGACCAGGAAGUGGAGUUCUUGUCCACGUCCAUUGCUCAGCUCAAAGUGGUACAGACUAAGUAUGUGGAAGCCAAGGACUGUCUGAACGUGCUGAACAAGAGCAACGAGGACGGAAUUUCGCUCUGUCGCCCAGGCUGGAGCGCAAUGGUGAGAUCUUGGUUUACUGCAACCUCCGCCUCCCGAGUUCAAGAGAUUCUUCUGUCUCAGUCUCCCGAGUAGCUGGGACUUUAGGUACGCGCCACCACGACCGGCUAAUUUUUGUAUUAAUAGUAGAGUUGGGGGUUUCACCAUAUUGGCCAGGCUAGUCUCGAACUCCUGACCUCGUGAUCCGCCUGCCUCGGCCUCUCAAAGUGCUAGGAUUACAUUACAGGCGUGAGCCACUGCCC
rnacentral:sRNA from 1 species